rnacentral:ribozyme from 13 species
UAAAAGAGAAAGAAAGAAGGAGGAGAAGAACAACCAGAAAGAAAAAGGGAUUGUUGGUUUUGUAAAUAUUUACUGAAGAAAUAGAUUGUUGUUCAAAAUUCUUUUUUUUUUUUUUUUUUUUUUUUUUUUUUUU